CCUACGGGUGGCAGCAGUGGGGAAUAUUGCACAAUGGGGGUAACCCUGAUGCAGCGACGCCGCGUGGGUGAAGAAGCGCCUCGGCGCGUAAAGCCCUGUCAGCAGGGAAGAAAAUGACGGUACCUGAAGAAGAAGCCCCGGCUAACUACGUACCAGCAGCCGCUGUAAUACGUAGGGGGGAAGCGUUAUCCGGAUUUACUGGGUGUAAAGGGGGCGUAGACGGCGAUGCAAGCCAGGAGUGAAAGCCCGGGGCCUAACCCCGGGACUGCUCUUGGAACUGCGUGGCUGGAGUGCAGGAGGGGUAUGCGGAAUUCGUGGUGUAGCGGUGAAAUGCGUAGAUAUCAGGAGGAACACCGGUGGCGAAGGCGGCCUGCUGGAGCGCAACUGACGUUGAGGCACGAAAGCGUGGGGAGCGAACAGGAUUAGAUACCCCUGUAGUC
rnacentral:rRNA from 1 species